rnacentral:misc_RNA from 1 species
GUGAAUCAUCAAAUUUUUGAACGCAAAUUGCACUCCCUGGUAUUCCGGGGAGUAUGCCUGUUUGAGGGUCGUUAGAAUAAGAAAUCGAGGCGUCGCUCUUUUUUUUAGGGGUGAUCGCGUCGGAAUUGAGCCGUCUUUCAAAUGUUAAUUCAUGUCAAAUUGGCUUAAAAUUCUUGCAUCAGAUACGAUUAUAGCGUAUUUAAGUUCAAUUUUGAUUCAGAACGCGCGAUGAACGUACCAUCUCAUGUAGUACGUUUGACAUAAGUCAUCAAGUUCAUUCGUAUAC